ACACAAACACACACACGGUGGAUGCAGGAAAAAACAGAGAUGAGACGUACACAAUUACCUAAAUUAAGGAUGGCUACGCUCGCAAAAUCAGGCAUCUUGGGC